ensembl:lncRNA
UGGGAAACCGCCCGGGAAGCGAGCCGGGCCCUGCCCUCAGGGAGCUCUCCCAGGAGCCGGGAGCAGAGAGCGACGCGCGAGCGUAGGUAGCCGCCAGCUCUCCCCGAACCGUCCGUGGGGGAGUUGGGGAACUGUGUUUUCAGACACAGUGGUUUUGUAUCGUGAUCUCGACAGUGAGUUCAUCUUUUGUCAGCGAGUUUCAACUUUAGAAUUCCAUGAGGUUAUAUUUUGAAUAUUCGCCAUGUUCUGGGGAAGAGAUUCCGUGACCAGAAUGAAAACUCGGAGAGGGCAGGCACUUGUCAUACCAGUACCCGCUGCGCCUAAAGGGUGCCUGGCACAGAAUGAAUGCCCGGUGAAUAGUUUUCAGAUCGCUGAAGUCUGUGAAAGAGCGUUUCUGUUGUUUUAGUCUCUAAGUCGUGUCUGACUCUUGCGACCCCGUGGACUGUAGCCCGCCAGGCUCCUCUGUCCAUGAGAUUUCCCAGGCAAGAACACUGGAGUGGGUUGCCAUUUCCUUCUCCAGGGCAUCUUCCCCACCCAGGGACUGAACACGCGACUCCUGCGUUGGCAGCCUGAGCCACCUGGGAAGCUCUUAAAAGGGCAUGCUGCCCCCAAAGUUGGCAGUUCCUGGCUGCCUCCUGAACUUGAAAAUUUCAGUCUCUGCUCACUGCUUAGGCGCCUUCUCCUUACCCACCCCAGCUGUUGUUUCCAUGGUAACCGACCCUACUCUGCCUGUGUUGCUAACUAGAGCUAAGAGCUCUUGAAGGGGAACAAGAGGAACCAGUGACGUCAGUGUAAGCUGCCUAAGGAAUGGGAGGAGCGCCUGGAGCCCUAAAGCUGCCUCUUUCAGUGGUUUGUGCUAGAUGCCUGUAUGUGUUAGAGUCUGUCUUUGGAUGAGGUGUCUGCAAAAGAAUAAAAAGGUGACCGCGUGAACCUCUGUAGACUCCAUGGAGUCACAGACUGUCAGUUCAUAAGCUGCCGUGAGCACCAGUGACAUCAACAUUUUGCAUGCUUAAUACUUAUUAGUUCAUUUAUUCUGUCACUCAAUCAGUAGUGAUCUGAAGAGAGCUGGCUUCCUAUGUGUGAGGAAUGCUAAAGGUACUACGGCUAUUAAUACACUUAUCAUCUCUGUUGCUUAGAGUCCAUCAGGAGAGAUACUUAUUCAUCUGUUUAUUUUUUCUGAUUUUUUAAUUGACGCAUCUUUGAUAUACAAUAUUAUGUUACAAGUAUACAAUAUAGUUAUUCAGAAUUUUUAAAAGUUACACUCCAUUUAGAGUUAUUAUAAACUAUUGACUAUAUUCACUGUGUUAUACAGCAUAUCCUUGUAGGUUGGUUUAUGCGUAAUAGUCUGCACCUCUUAGUCCCCUACCCCCAUUUCUCCCUUCCCUGCUCCCUUCUCUCCUUUGGUAACCACUAGCUCUUUCUCUACAGGUCUGGUUAUUCGUGGUGUUCACUAGUUUGCUAUAUUUUUUAGAUCCCCCGUAUAAGCAAUAUCACACAGUACUAGUCUUCCUCUGUCUGACAUCUCACUUAGCAUAGUCCCUUCCAAGGCCAUCCAUGGUGUUGCAAACGGUGACGUUUCAUUCUUUCUUAGGGCUCAGUAGAAUUCUGCUGUGUCUAUGUCACACAUCUUCUUUGUCCAUUCCUCGGCUGCUGGACACUUAGGCUGUUUCCAUAUCUUGGCUGUUCUAAAUAGUGCUGCUAUGAACAUUGAGGUACAUGUACCUUUUCGAAUUAGUGUUUUCAUGUUUUUCUUUCCGACGUGUACCCAGGAGUGGAAUUGCUUAGGCAGAUGGCAGUUCUGUUUUUCGUUUCUUUUGAGAAACCUCUGUGCUGUUUUCGGUAGCACCUGUACCAGGUUCCAUUCCCGCCGACAGUGUGCAGAGUCCCCUUUGUCCUACAUCCUCGCCAGCAUUUCUUUGUGUUGUUAUUUGUUCCUUUGGUUAUUUUGUGAUGAUUUUUUUGUGCAUCACUAUAUUCUGAGAGCUCAUGAUGUGUGAGACGUAUUAGAGUCUGAGAGAAACAGAGUGAGUUUAAAAAGUAAAACGAAAUGCUGUGCUGCCAGGAAAUGAGCCUGAUAGGUUUGAGGUCAGGUAUUAAACAGAUAAUCACAAGCGUGGCCAACAUUUGCUAAGUACCUGCUGUGGCGCCAGGUACUGUUUCAGACAAAAGGACUGUAGCAAUGAACAAAAUAGACUUUGUAUCUGUUCUUGUGGAGCUUACAUGAUGGUGCAAAGAGAAAUAUAUGCAGAUGAAUCAUUUAGUGCCUUUCAUUUACAGCAUUAGAGAGGGAAAGUGGCAGCCCACCCCAGUAUCCUUGCCUGAAGAAUUCCAGGGACAGGGGACCCUGGCAGGCUAUAGUCUAUGGAGUUGCAAAGAGUUGGAUGUGACUUAGUGACUAAACAGCAGCAACGACAGUCACAAUGCACAAAAUAUUCAACUCAAAUUGACUUAAAUAAAAAGGAGAAUUUAUUGGCCUAACUAACUGAAGAUGCCAGAGAUAUAGGUGGUCUCCUCUAUUUAGAAACAUGAUUUCUGUUAUUCUUGCAAAUCUCGGUGGUUUUUCUGCCCAAUAUUCCCUCCCCACUGUUUCUUGCCACAGAAGCCUUUUCUGUGGAGAACUGGUGAGGGUUUGACCCAAGCCUUGUCAGACACUCUGUUCUGUUGCUGUGCCCACCGUGAUUGGUUCAGGAAUGAGCAUGCGACUCCAGGUGAGGCAUUCGGAGAUACUCCUGUAAGGAAUGAUAGCUCUUUGCUAGGAGGCUAAACUGGUCCUGUCUGCCUGUUAGGGACAAAAGCAAGAGUCAGAGCCUCCCACUGCCUCUUCUGACAUGUAGAGGGGGGAAGGUAUGUAAUGGACUUGGCACAAAGCGGGCUCUCAGUAACUGUCAGCCAGCGUUGAGGGGGAGUUCCAAAGGGACAGUGAGAAGAAAGUCUUUGAAGGGAGCGGAAGCUUGCGAGUUUGUAGACCACUUCAAGAUAAAGUAAAUCAGGGUUCUUGGAGUGCCUGCUGUUGUUCAGUCGUUAAGUCCUGUCUGACUCUGUGACCCCAUGGACUGCAGCACCCCAGACUUCCCUGGCCUUCACUGUCUCCCAGAGUUUGCUCAGACUCAUGUCCAUUGAGUCAGUGAUUCCAUUUAACCAUCUCAUCCUCUGUCGCCUGCUUCUCUUCCUGCCCUCAAUCAUUCCCAGCAGCAGGGUCUUUUCCAGUGAGUCAGCUCUUCACAUCAGGUGGCCAAAGUAUUGGAGCUUUAGCAUCAGUCUUGCCAAUGAAUAUUCAUGAUUGAUUUCCUUUAGGAUGGACUGGUUUGAUCUCUUUGCUGUCUAAGGGACUCUCAACCGUCUUUUCCAGCACCACAGUUCAAAAGCAUGAAUUCUUUGGUGCUCAGCCUUCUUUAUGGUCCAAUUUUCAUGCUCAUAUAUGACUGCUGGAAAAACCAUAGCUCUGACUAUGUGUACCUUUGCUGGCAAAGUGAUGUCUCUGCUUUUUAAUACACUGCCUAGGUUUGUCAUAGCUUUUCUUCCAAGGAGGAAGCAUCUCUUAAUUUCAUGGCUGCAGUCACUGUUGGCAGUGAUUUUGGAGCCCAAGAAAAUAAAAUCUGCCACUGUUUCCAUUUUUCCCCUCCAUGUGUAAGUGCUAUCAUGUGAUACUUGUCUUUCUCUGACUUAUUUUUCUCGAUAUGACUGAUCAUCUCCAGGUCCAUCCAUGUUGCUACAAGUGGCAUUAUUUCUUCUUUUUAAUGGCAGAGUAAUAUUCCAUCGUAUAUAUGUACUGCACCUUUACCCAUCCAUCUGUCAGUGGGCACUGAGAUCUUCCAUGUCUUGGCUGUUAUGAGUAGUGCUGCUGUGAACACUGGGGUGCCUGGAUCUUUUCAAAUCAGAGUUUUUGUCUUUUCCAGGUAUACGCCCAGGGGUAGGAUUGCUGGAUCAAAUGGUAGCUGUUUUUAGUUUUUUAAGGGGUCGCCAUACUGUUCUCAAUUGUGGCUGCACCAAAUUACAUUCCCACCAACAGUUUAGGGGGGUUCCUUUCUCUCCGCAACCCCUCCAGCAUUUAUUGUCUGUGGACUUCUUGAUUAUGGCCAUUCUGACCUGUGUGAGGUGGUACUGCACUGUGCUUUUGAUUUGCAUUUCUCUAAUAAUUAGUGUUAUUGAAUGUCUCUUCACGUGCCUGUUGGCCAUCUAUAUCUCCUUUGGGGGAGAUGUCUAGGUCUUCUGCUCAUUUUUUGAUUUGGUGGUUGCUGUUGCGUUUUUGAUAACUGAGUUGUAAGCUGUUUUUAUACUUUGAAGAGCAAGCCCAUAUCUUCUCCCAUUCUGUAGGUUGUCUCUUUGUUCUGUUUAUGGUUUCCUUUGCUGUGCAAAAGCUUUUUUAAGUUUGAUUAGGG